rnacentral:rRNA from 1 species
GAGUGAACGCUGGCGGUAGGCCUAACACAUGCAAGUCGAACGGCAGCACAGUAAGAGCUUGCUCUUAUGGGUGGCGAGUGGCGGACGGGUGAGGAAUACAUCGGAAUCUACCUUUUCGUGGGGGAUAACGUAGGGAAACUUACGCUAAUACCGCAUACGACCUUCGGGUGAAAGCAGGGGACCUUCGGGCCUUGCGCGGAUAGAUGAGCCGAUGUCGGAUUAGCUAGUUGGCGGGGUAAAGGCCCACCAAGGCGACGAUCCGUAGCUGGUCUGAGAGGAUGAUCAGCCACACUGGAACUGAGACACGGUCCAGACUCCUACGGGAGGCAGCAGUGGGGAAUAUUGGACAAUGGGCGCAAGCCUGAUCCAGCCAUACCGCGUGGGUGAAGAAGGCCUUCGGGUUGUAAAGCCCUUUUGUUGGGAAAGAAAAGCAGUCGGCUAAUACCCGGUUGUUCUGACGGUAC